AUGACUGCAAUAAACAUGAAGUAGGGGACGCUAACUAGCAUGGACCGCACAUCUCAGAAAAACGGAAAGGUUUUCAGGAAUGUGUUGCUAUCAGCAGCUGAAGGGUUGCAGUGCAUGGUAGAACACACUGAGGCAAAGUUCAAUAAAAAGAAAGAAGGGAAAAAAAAAAAAAAUCAGCCCAAGGAGUAUUUCGCUCUGCUCUCUCUGCUGAGAUGUGUUUACUGUAAUUACAUUGCACCUAUAGCAAAACUUCAAAUGUAAUCAGAAGGACUUUUUAUAUGAACGAUGAAGCAAUAAAUUCAAACUUUAGAUUAUUUUUUUUCACUCCCACUCGAUUGCUACUCCCACUCCACACUUUGUGAUGGAGUACUAUUUUUUUUUAA